rnacentral:snoRNA from 13 species
UGUAGAUGAUGACAGGCUUUCCCUGAUGUCACUGAGGGCAAUAACUGAUUUAAUGAGCCUGAUGC